AUGUUUCCCAUGUGGUAUUGGUGUGCUGGAUAUCCCUUCACUGGUAGCCUGGUAACAUACACUCCCAGGUCUUUCUCUGCCUCUGUGGUGGAUAGUGGAAUGUUUCCCAUGUGGUAUUGGUGUGCUGGAUAUCCCUUCACUGGUAGCCUGGUAACAUACACUCCCAGGUCUUUCUCUGCCUCUGUGGUGGAUAGUGGAGUGUUUCCCAUGUGGUAUUGGUGUGCUGGAUAUCCCUUCACUGGUAGCCUGGUAACAUACAUUCCCAGGUCUUUCUCUGCCUCUGUGGUGGAUAGUGGAGUGUUUCCCAUGUGGUAUUGGUGUGCUGGAUAUCCCUUCACUGGUAGCCUGGUAACAUACACUUCCAGGUCUUUCUCUGCCUCUGUGGUGGAUAGUGGAGUGUUUCCCAUGUGGUAUUGGUGUGCUGGAUAUCCCUUCACUGGUAGCCUGGUUACAUACACUCCCAGGUCUUUCUCUGCCUCUGUGGUGGAUAGUGGAGUGUUUCCCAUGUGGUAUUGGUGUGCUGGAUAUCCCUUCACUGGUAGACUGGUAACAUACACUCCCAGGUCUUUCUCUGCCUCUGUGGUGGAUAGUGGGGUGUUUCCCAUGUGGUGUUGGUGUGCUGGAUAUCCCUUCACUGGUAGCCUGGUAACAUACACUCCCAGGUCUUUCUCUGCCUCUGUGGUGGAUAGUGGAGUGUUUCCCUUGUGGUAUUGGUGUGCUGGAUAUCCCUUCACUGGUAGCCUGGUAACAUACACUCCCAGGUCUUUCUCUGCCUCUGUGGUGGGUAGUGGAAU